rnacentral:piRNA from 1 species
GCUUGAUUUUGUUUUUUAAUUU